AUGGAAUGUCCUUGCUUUUCCCCGUGCCGAGAGGUGGUUAAAUGCCCAAAAGCCCAUCGACGAGGUUGCAAGACCGCCUUUCUACCUUCGCUACGUCAUCUUUCAUUUGUAUUUAUACUUGGUCGGAAACGGGCGUAUAAAUGGACGUUGAAAGGGGAAAAAAACACCAGAGGCUAUCUUUAAACAUUUUCAUACGUCAGGCAAAGGGGAACCAACACAGAUAAACCAUCCAGAUAAAGAAGUUUACAAAAUCUUCGGAAAAAACUGUUUCCAUUAACCCUGCAACGGGACUCAUGGGUCAUUCGUGCCCUCGAUGUUUUGAAAAUGUGAAUCCCUAGGAAAACCCAGUUAGUAUGUAAAAAAUGUUUGGGGUGGGGAUAGAAUGUGGCCGCCAGCGCGCCGGAAUCCACCAUGUACCUGCGACUGGCAGCGAGAACGGAUCUCCGAAAGGCACGAGUGACCCAUGAGUCCUACUAACGUUUGAAGUCGAUAAGUGCGAAAAUGAGUCUAAAAUAUGAAAAAAAUAUGAAAAUAUGAGUAAAAUAUGAGUCUAAAAUAGCGACAGAAUGCCAAAAAGAAAAAGGUGUCACUUCUGCCCAACCAAAACAGACAGGAAAACGUUCUUCUGCUGUUAUAAAUGCAAACAAUCGGUUUGUGACGAUCAUCGACUUGCGUGCUGUCCAGAAUGCUCGUAAAAUUUCAAAUGAUGUAACAUUAUGUUAUUAAUUAUGUAAUUUUAUGUUAAUUUCAUAUAAAUGCCAAUACUUGACAACUUA